rnacentral:misc_RNA from 1 species
AGUUAAUCGAGGAGUCGAAGAGUAGAGUUAUUGGCGUUGACGAGUUGCGUGAAUUGCUAGCGUUGCUGAGAAUUGAGUUGUUAGCGUUGUGGAAUUGCGAGAGUUGCUAGCGUUGCUGAGAGAUUGAGUUGUUAGCGUUGUCGAGCUGCGAGAGUUGCUAGCGUUGCUUAGAGAUUGAGUUGUUAGCGUUGUGGAAUUGCAUGAGUUGCUAGCGUUGCUGAGAGGUUGAGUUGUUAGCGUUGUCGAGCUGCGAGAGUUGCUAGCGUUGCUGAGAGAUUGAGUUGUUAGCAUUGUCGAGCUGCGAGAGUUGCUAGCGUUGCUGAGAGAUUGAGUUGUUAGCAUUGUCGAGCUGCGAG